rnacentral:lncRNA from 1 species
AAAAAUAAGAGAUGAAUUUACUAGGUUAAAAGGAGGUAAGAAUUCUUGAGUUGCCCAGGGAAGAAUUCAGAGCCCCUGUGUUAGACUCUGGUGAAAUUACUGCUGAUGGAAACUGGCUCAUAAUGGAAAGAUGAUGAUGCAGGAUGAAAACAGUGAGGGGCAGUAGUUGGUGGUCCUUGAAUGAAGACUAGGUGCAUUGCUCCCAUAGAGAGACAUCUUCCACACUGAAACUUGGUGUCAUCAGCAGAGUGAUGUCUCCCCAAAGAUGUCUACCUCUGAAUCCCUGGGAUCAGUGAAUAUGUCACCUUACAUGGCAUAGGGACUUUGCAGAGGUGAUUAAGAGAUGACCUGUGCCCAGUUUGGAGAUGAACGCUGCCUUCUUCAAUUCAUAGCUAAGCCAGUCUGGGCUUGUGCCGCUAAGAGGCAGAUCCCCUGGAAUCAGUUCAGCAUUUGGGUUAAAUGCUGCAAAGCAGGAAGAGUCUGAGAUGAAGAUUGGAACAAGCCUGUGCGACAUCACCUCUGAAUUCCCUAGGGCCAGUCAUUUAAGUUCUCCUCUGAUUCUGAAAAUCCCCCCUGAUCUCCCCAGCUUCUGCUCCAAAAGGCACAUAUCCAGCCCCUCAUGGAACCCAGAACAGCACCAAGAUUUCUAUUGAAGGAGAUUCUCUUUUCUUCAAAGGUAGUUGUGAUUAUAAACAGCAGCAUUGCUUUUUUAUUGAAUGUUUAUGUCUUCAUCAGACUGUCAAGGUUGGGAGAACUGGCCUUCUAAUGCAACCAAGCUGGGGGUAGAUGCUGGCCAUGCCUGGGUGAAAAACUCACGUAGGGGCCGGCUCCGUGGCCGAGUGGUUAAGUUGGCGCGCUCCACUGCGGUGGCCCAGGGUUCGGAUCCUGGGCUCAGACAUGGCACCGUUCGUCAGGCCACGUUGAG